rnacentral:rRNA from 1 species
UGGGGAAUCUUGCGCAAUGGGCGAAAGCCUGACGCAGCGACGCCGCGUGUGGGAUGAAGGUCUUCGGAUUGUAAACCACUGUCGGGAGGGACGAAGCUCUGACGGUACCUCCAAAGGAAGCACCGGCUAACUCUGUGCCAGCAGCCGCGGUAAUACAGAGGGUGCGAGCGUUGUCCGGAAUCACUGGGCGUAAAGGGCGCGUAGGCGGCCUGGUAAGUAGGGGGUGAAAUCUCAUGGCUCAACUGUGAGGCUGCCUUCUAGACUGCUGGGCUUGAGCACGGUAGAGGCUGGUGGAAUUCCCGGUGUAGCGGUGGAAUGCGUAGAGAUCGGGAGGAACAUCGGUGGCGAAGGCGGCCAGCUGGGCCGUUGCUGACGCUGAGGCGCGAAAGCGUGGGGAGCAAACAGGAUUAGAUACCCAAGUAGUCCCUGAGCGGGCUGGCAAGGCGCAU